GAUUCUCCCGUGCUAGGUCCUCAGAAGAAAACCCAGAUUUCUGUGCAGCGCUCCCCACGCCCUCGGGAGUGCCUCCGAGCGCCCGGAAACCUGGACAGAUCUAAAAGAUGCCCUUCCCAGUGUGCCUCUGGCCCCCCAAAGCCAACCACACUUCACCUUUGAAUGGCAUGGCCCAGAGAUUGGGAUCAGCAGUCAGCUGACAUGGACCAGUCUACCAUAUGGAUUCAAAAAGUCUCCCACUAACUUUGAUGAAGUUCUACAUGAAGACCUGGGUAAUACUGUGUCUGACCUGAUCUGAGGGACACUCCCCUGCCUGAUGUGGACGUCACCCGGUACACUUGGAGCAGUUUUGUACAAGAUGAACAGAGGGACGCAGGGGCAGUGACCACUUCAGAGGAGGUGAUCGGAGCCAACGCCUACAGGCACUUCCACUCAAUGGGCAGAAUGGGUGACCUUGACCAAAGCUCUAGAACUGAGACAAGACAAUAGCUGCUCUGCAUUUGCACCGCUCAUCUCCCUGGGGCGAUGUAUAAAGAAAGGGGACUACUGACUGCGGAGGGAAAAUCUAUUAAAAAUAAUAAAGAAAUUCUGGCCCUCCUCAAGGUCCUAUGGAAGCCUAAAAAAGUGACCAUCAUGCACCGUCCAGGACACCAGAAAGGGGAUGGGCCCAACAAUUUGGCAGAUAAAACUGCCCAGGAAGUAGCAGUGCAACCUUAGUAGAACCAGGAUCCCCUGCCUUACCUGAAACUCACAAAUACACAGGGAAGAUCUGGCCUGGAUAAAGUCCCUCCCCAUGGUGCAAAACCUGGAAAGAUGGUGGCGAUCAGCAGACAGCACAAUCAUUCUGCCUGACCAUCUGAGUAGACACUGCUCCAAAAGAUUCACCGCUCCUCUCACGUGGGGAUUUGUAGGAUGCAAAAUCUGUUGAGACACUCAAAAACUAAAAUCAGAGAUGGAAAGCAAAAAAUUGCAGACAUAGUCUCCCAGUGCAAGGCCUGUGUGCUGACCAAUGCUGCUGCCAGUCCUAAAAAUCCUGGAACCCGGCUCAGAGGAAAGAAGCCUGGUGUGUAUUGGGAAGUAGAUUUCACAGAAAUUAAACCUGGCAAGUAUGGGCAGAGAUAUCUGUUAGUGCGUAUAGACACCUUCUCAGGCUGGAUGGAAGCAUUCCCCACCAAGCACGAGAUAGUACAGGAGGUGGCAAAUAUGCUCCUAGAAGACACCCGGCCCAGGUAUGGAUUUCCCACUGUGACAGGACCAGACAAUGGACCAGCUUUUGUGUCCCAGGUUCUGGCCAGGGCACUGGGUCUAUGUGAGAAGGCAUCGCCAGAGCCCAGGUGGAAGGGACCUUUCCUCACCCUGCUGACGGACACCCGCUGCCAUUAAGGUUGACGGCAUAGUCUCCUGAAUCUUUUACACUCAUGCCAGACCUGCAGAUCCCUUCGCACUCAAAGAAGACUACAGAGGAGAAGGAUGGGAAGUUCUUUUAAGUAGGCUGGUACAGUUCAAAGAAAGACUUGGAACUAUUCGACUAGUGGUUGCCGGAUGCCAAUCGGUGGUAACAUGUCACAGGAGAGGCUCGUUAUCAACCCUGACAGAGGAAACUCAGAGGGGCUUGAUGGAAUCGGAUGAGCUGGGACAAAACCGAGACCCAUGAUUGGGCUCUCACAGGCACAAGAAAGAGAAUGAAGGAGCAGGACAAACUCCAUUCUGAGAAAGAACUCCAUUUUAGCUGCACUUGACCUAGGGCUGACCCAGCUUCAGUUAAAGUCAAAAUGACAUUUCUAAGAAAAACCACAAACUGUGCCUGCCCCCGGUCAAAGUGACCCCACCCGGUGGCCAGCCAAUGACUAGCAACAAUGCUUGCUUGAGAUGUCCUUGUGGGCACCUGAUAAUUGCUGUUUGGAAACUCCUCUAGACCCAGCCAAUGAAUUCAAAAGUCCCCUACCCUUACUGAAUUUGUAUCCAAUCAUGUAACGCCAAGGCUGUACCACCCUGCUGGAGGCUUUUCCCUUUAAAAACCCCCUGCUUCAAAGGUUCAAGACUGGUUGGCUCCACCUGCGCCGUCGGAGUGCUGGAUGAUGAUCCAAACUCGAGUUUGUAGUCAAUAAAACCGU